rnacentral:lncRNA from 1 species
UUGUAAUGCCUCCAACUUUCUAUCUUCCACUAUAUGUAUUACUUUUAUGAAAAUAUAAUUUUGAUAUAAAGAAGAGAGUUAAGAUUAGAGUUUGAGGGGACAAAUGUUGCGAUGUGGUAAACUCAAGAAACUUAGCCAUGAAAGCAUGUCGCCCACAUCAUGAGUAGGGCUGGCAUUGCCCGGGUAGUUGUACAAAGUUGUAGCUGCUGCAUUGAAAUAUUGCUUAUAAUUCAUUCCAAAUUCAAAGAACACAAAGAAAAAGGAUUGCCCAAAUAAACACUGAAUAUAACCAAAAACAUUACUGAAUUUCAAAAUCCAAAGUAAAAUGUACAAAACCAAAGGAUUACAAUACAACAAUUUCAACAAAGAACGAUAGAAUACACGCGAAGAAAUAACAUUAACAGUACCUGAAAUUCUCACUACUAAAAAUACAAGAUCUUGUCGACAGAUGUCUAGUUCUCGUUAGCAAGAGAAGUCUAGAUGGAACAAAG